rnacentral:rRNA from 1 species
AGUGAACGCUGGCGGUAGGCCUAACACAUGCAAGUCGAACGGCAGCACAGUAAGAGCUUGCUCUUACGGGUGGCGAGUGGCGGACGGGUGAGGAAUACAUCGGAAUCUACUUUUUCGUGGGGGAUAACGUAGGGAAACUUACGCUAAUACCGCAUACGACCUACGGGUGAAAGCAGGGGAUCUUCUGACCUUGCGCGAUUGAAUGCGCCGAUGUCGGAUUAGCUAGUUGGCGGGGUAAAGGCCCACCAAGGCGACGAUCCGUAGCUGGUCUGAGAGGAUGAUCAGCCACACUGGAACUGAGACACGGUCCAGACUCCUACGGGAGGCAGCAGUGGGGAAUAUUGGACAAAGGGCGCAAGCCUGAUCCAGCCAUACCGCGUGGGUGAAGAAGGCCUUCGGGUUGUAAAGCCCUUUUGUUGGGAAAGAAAAGCAGCAGGUUAAUACCCCGCUGUUCUGACGGUACCCAAAGAAUAAGCACCGGCUAACUUCGUG